rnacentral:lncRNA from 1 species
UUGCUAAGCCUGCACUUAUUCAUGUAUGGUUGCAAUCUGUUCCUGUGGAAAAGCACAAGAAUCAACUACAACUUCAUAUUUGAAUUUCAACCAAGAACUGUUCUCAAAUAUAGAGAUGCAUUCCUCAUAGGAACUUGUUUAAUGACUGCUGUUGUUGGAGCUCUGGUUAUUCAUUUAAUCUUACUUUCAAGUGGAUUUUCUCCUAGCCAAGUUGAUGCAAUUCCUGGAAUUCUCCUACUGGUUAGUCACCUAAAGCCGGAUCUAUUGUUUCUUUUCGUCUUGUUAAGGCCUAGUCAAGUCGACGCAAUUCCUGGAAUUCUCCUACUGGUUAGUCACCUAAAGCCGUAUCUAUUGUUUCUUUUCGUCUUCUUGAGCCGAGGGUCUUUCGGAAACAGCCUUUCUACUCCUCCGAUCCGGAGUAGGGGCAAGGUCUACGUAUACACUACCCUCCCAGACCCCACUUGUGGGAUUUCACCGAGUGGUUGUCCUUGUUAGUCACCUAAAAUCUUGUUAAACAUUUUUGCUCAAUGCAUAUACUUUCUAAUGUUAAAAUAAUCUUAUGAACUAAUUCCUCCUCGC